rnacentral:lncRNA from 1 species
CCUGGCCCUCAAUUCAUCUGCUAAUUCUCUCUGAAGUUUCUCAUCUGGCGGUAGCUUGCCAGACCUGAGACAUGCCCCAUGCAUCACUGAACGGAAUAAGCAUCUUCCAUCUCCUGGGAUGCCUACAAGAAUGACAAAUUUGUUUAGGUAAUUAUCUGAGUGACCAUGUCUGAUAUAAUUAUACUCAGGAACUUUACUAGUGCAGAUAUUUUAUGAACUGCCUUAAAAAACAAAAAAGUCUUGUCUCACCAGUAAUGGAAUAAUCAGUAUAAAUUUUUUUUCCAUGAGAAUAUCCAGUGCUGUUUCCAUCAUUCUUGUUAGUUCUUCCCCUGGAAGGUUCAGCAUAUACUGGUCCUGAAGUCGUAAAGCACAAAUAAAGCCCAAGCGAAGCGCCACCUGCUACCAAUGGUAAGUUUCUAGUAUUCCAAGAGACUCCCGAGAACUUCUCAUGUGAUGGCAAAGAAAGGCUCAAACUCAUACUUCGACACCUUGUCGUUGAUGCAAGACGAAAUUUGCCCCCAGACAAUCUCAUUGAGGUGUCCAUGUUUCGCUGAAGAAUACUUCCUUUAUGUUUGGAAAGAGUAAAAGAAGGAAAUCUACAUCUAGGUCUUCGAAUAUUAGUAGAGGAAGAACGAAAAGACUUGGAUAAUGACACAACUGUAUGUCUUCGUUGGAACAGGCUGGAACGAGAGCAUAGACUGCUGGAAUUGGAUCGGGUCAACCACAGAGGAGACAUAUAGCUAAACAUCUAUUUCCCAACACCUCCGUGCAAGAUUGAUGAUUUCCAAAGUAUAUGAAAUGUGAAACGCUAAUAUUAUAAAGCUGUUGUUUUGGUUUGUGUGUGCUAAUGAGAAACACACAAAUGUCUCUACAUAUAUAUCAUGGUUCAAAACUGCUUUAUCUGGACAUAGGCACCAUUAAAAUAAUUCAAUAUUUGUGGCCUUGUCCAUGCACAGCUGCAUCUGCCUAAUCACAUCAAACAAAAAUUGUUACUUUCUCAAGCAAAGAUUACAGCUGCCCCCUACUUCUACUCUACGUAGGAUACAAAGCAGCACAAACAUAUGCCUAGAUUUAUCUGCAAGACAUUGUAAUAAAAUGAUCUUCUAGGUGUUUGCAUAUGAGAAAUCAAGCACCAUUGUCCAACGACUAGCAAAUAAUGGAACAUAUCCAGAGGGAAAGUGGAACAUAUCUUCAGCUCUAUUUGCAACCUUUGCAAUAAAUGAGUAAAAGCAAAUAUGGUAAUUACUUAGGGUCAAUAAAAAGUCACAGCCAAAUCAUAUGUUGUUGGCAAAACCAUAUUAAGCUAAAGCUUCAUAAUUUUGUGAGGCAAAAUCAUGUUUUUGGCACUCUAAGAAGACUAACAUCCUGCAUACAAACUACUGGAAGUAGCAGCGAUACUAGUAUCCUAGCCAGCACAGGAAGGGCAACAUAUCUAUGUGCAGAACAAGAAAUUGAUCAUUUUCAUGUAACCCCACCAUAAAGAAUCUUGUAUCUGAAUUAUAGCAUACAAAUCUUUGGCAUUAAGAACUGUAAAUGAAAUAACAAUCACCGACAGCCCUCAAAUUGUCUCACUCAAAGACUUCCAUUAAUCAAUCUGUGGGAACAGGAAAGCCCAUUUGCAAUCCCACUUGAAAGUUCCUUCUUUUUUUUUCCAGGUAAUUUUCUGCUUUUGCCGACAUUAAUGCAUGAUAAAGAACUAUAUUUUAUCCUUCGCUGAAAUCAACCAACAAGAAUUGUGACUAGGAUUUUUUCUUUUUCCCUUCUUUUUGAAUCUAGUACUCAGAAUCAAUCAAAAUCAACUUUUGUCCGAACGAUCCAUAAAGAUGGACAUGCCAGAAAUGUGAUUUUUUUUUGUUUUUGUCAUCAUAUUGAUAUCAAACAAAAAGGUGGGAAUAUCAUGUCACGAACUAAAAAAUCCAGCAAAGAAACCGAGAAGUUGCGGCAUUUAUUUCCUAAAAAUAUCAGAGAAGGUUCUAUAACAGAAAAAAGGAAGAAGAAAACCCGACUUUCCACGGUAGAUCUCGGUCCGGAAGGCAAGGAUAAUAUUUGUUGGAAAGAGAGGAGAUGGGAAGAGUCGAUGUUAUAUGAGCAGAAGAGAAAGAAGAGAUGGCCCAAGACGGGAAGGAUGAGUGCAGAGGCGAGGGAUGCUCCCGUACCUGA